UGCUCACCGCCCUGUAAUAAGGCUGGAACUCUCGGUUGCUGGGUUAGUUUCUUGCUGAUCUCAACAGCAGAGAGUAUUCCAGGCCAGCUAAGAGUUUGCAGAGGGCAGGUGUAACGCUUCUGUGGCAGCCAUGGGUCUCAAGAUCGAAAUAAGCUAUUGUAAUUCCUGAGGGUAUCGCGGCAAGUUCCACCAAAUCAAGAAAAUACUCCAAAAUGAGUUUCCCGGUGAACUUGAAAUCGAUGGGAAACCAGUUGGUGGAAAUACUGGCUGCUUUGAGGUUGUAGUAAAGGAUUCAGGCACCGUUCUGUUUUCUAAACUGCAUGAAAAGAUCAGGCUUAAUGAGGAUGCAUUUAACAUGAUAGUGACACGAAUGAAAGCAGCCCUUAAUCAGUCAAUGCAGAAGAUGUAAUUCUCAGUUAAACAUACAUUUACCUGGUUCAUUGUGACUGAACACUUAAUGAUGGAGAUGGCCAAAAUGUCUUCAAAAGGCACAGCUGUUCCCUGAUGUCCAUGUGGAAUGCUCCAGUGGCCAGGUUUUAUGGGGUUUGACUUGAGCUCAUUUUCAGCCAGUACCUAAUGUUUUUUCUCUCUUGACUCUUUCCCCUCCUCGAGCAUCCAAGUACCCCCCCCCCCCCCCCCCCCCCCCCCCCCCCCCCCCCCCCCCCCCCCCCCCCCCCCCCCCGCAAUGCUGUACUACAAAAAUACAAACUUUAUGCAAUUAAAGGGCACCAUAUUCACCCAUUCCUUCUCCCCAGAUACUGCCUGUCCCGCUGAGUUACUCUAGCAUUUUGUGUCUAUCUUCGGUUUAAACCAACAUCUGCAGUUCCUUCCUACAUUUUGUCUGCUCCACUGCGAAAUCUCAUGGUAUGUCUACUUUGAAGAAGUUCUCCUCCUCUCUCCGACACCAGUUCUGCAACAUCCUCUCUUGCUGCUGCGCCUGUAAUUCCUCCUGCUCUCCGACUACGCCUUCUCCCAGCUAACAAUGAUCUAUUCUAUUUUCUUUGAUGUCCAUUCCCCUUGUCCUGUUUUCACACCUUACUCGUCCUUAUCUACCUCCCUCUCCUGACAUCAGUCAGAAGGGUCUCGACCCAAAACAUCACCCAUUCCUUCUCUUCAGUGAUGCUGCCUGUCUCGUUGACACAACUAUCUUCAGUUUAAACAAGCACUGGCAGUUCCUUCCUACACCAUAUUCCUUUCUUGUGGUGCCAAUUUUACUGACCUGCAAUGAGGGCUUCCAACUCCCCUAUUCAAGGAUAUACAAAUGUAACGGCUCUAAUUAAAAUUUUCACCCAGUUUUGUUCACCUUAAACAAACUGUUCACCUUAAAUAAGAAAUUGCACUGAUCCUUGCAAUCAUCAUGCCUGCAAUAAUUUCCGAUUGAGACUGUGCAUUGUAUUUCUGCAGUUUUGCAAAAAAAAAAUUUGCCAUAAAAAACCUCCAUUAAAUUCGAUGAAUUGUGCAUGAUGUUAAAAAGAUGAAAAAUAAAAGUUGACCAGCAAAAUGCUCAUUUCAUUCCAAAUUUACCCACCUAAUAUUGGCAGAUAAAAUUAAAUGGAAUUAUCGUGAUCCAUCUGGCUUUUGGAUGAUUACAACUGUUGCUUAAAAUGAGGAAGCAACUGUAACAAUGGAGGAAAUGUUUACUUUUGCUGAAGAUUGGAAAAGUGGUAACACAGCAAUCUUGCUUCCUCUGGUUAAUAAUGAGACUUGCAGAAUGUACACUUUCUUUAUUUGCUUGUAAAAUUAUUGUUCUAAACGGAAAUGCCAUGAAUAUACAAUAAAAUACAAUAUUUAUUGUCAUUUGAGCCUCAGUGAGGCUCAAACAAAAUUCCUUUUCCACAGCAAUACAAAGACAAUUUCCUACAAACAUACACACAAUUUAAUUCACACAAACAUCCAUCACAGUGGACCCACUGUGAUGAAAGACAAAGUCUUUUCUCUCCCCUGUUCUCCAUGUCUCCCCCGAUGUCAAGCCCCAGACGGGCGAUGAUAAGUCCCCCGGCCAUUUUAGGCCGUGCCGGGCGAUUUACGGCCCCGCUCCCGGUCUAAAAGUCACAGAGCCCCUGGCGGGGGCUGUAAUGUCCCACGGCCAUGAAGCUGCACCGGGCGAUGUACGGCCCCGCUCCGGGUCGUUCCAACCCCGCGACACGGGCUGGAGAAGUCGCGUUGCGGGAGCUCUGGGAUGUGGUCUCCUCAACCGGACCCGCGAGCUCCCGAUGUCCCUACAGUCCACCGGACCUGCGGCUGCGUUGCUGGAGCCUCCGAGCCUCAGGAGUCGAGUCACCGCCGCUCCCCACGCUCCGAGGCUGGCCAGCCCCACGAUGGUGAGUUGUCCGCAGCUUCCCGAGCCCCCGGGUCGUUCAGGUUGGAGGCCGCUCCACGGUGCUAGGCCCCAACGACAACGGAGACCCGACAGGGAAAAGGUCGUGUCUCCCGUACAGGGAAGAGAUUUUAAACGGUUUCCCCCUCCCCCCCACAUAUACACAUUUAAAACCAGUAUUAAAAAAACACCAACACUACAUUUAACUAGACACAAAAUUUAAAAAAGACAGACAGGCUGCAGGGGCCGCUGCAAUGGGUGAGUCACGCCACCAACGCCAAUAUGGGGAGAACCUGAAAAUAAAACUAUGUAGUAGGUCUGACACCAGAAAGAAAAUUAAUAUUUCAGAUUGCUGACUUAACAGUAAUUAUUUUAAAAUGUUUAUCUUGCCUAACCUCUUGUAUUUCUACCAAUGUUUUGAAUUGUAUUUGGUACUGCAAUAAAAUUGACAAACUGCUUAAA